ACUUUUUUGUGAAACACUGAUACAAGAACUUAACAUAACAUCUAUACAAAAUUUUGGGAUCAUUUAUAAAAGAUUUGAAAAAUAGUUAUGGCAAAGAAUGAGAUGAAAACUACUGGGUUUGUGAUUAUGAUCAUCGCCAUGUUUUGUUUCGCACAAGCUAAAUACAAUUAUUCACUUGUGCAAGUUGAGUCAAACUAUGACUCUUUUAAAUUAUCCACAUGUAAAAUUAGAUGCGCAAUACAAUGUGCACUUUAUAGACCAUAUAAAUUGUGUGUGAAACUUUGUGAAGUACAACAUUGUCAUAAAAUGUUUGUCGAUGCUAUCUACAAUUGUAUUAGUAGUUGUGACUUGAUCAAACCGGUUGACAUUAAUAUUGAUGAUCGUGGUCGUCUUCCAGUUCAUGCGGUGGAUGCUUGCUUGAGAAAGUGUCAAAACAAGUAAUAAUGUUACAAGAAUGUUAAAGAAAUGGUUGUUAUGAGAAACAAUGUUUAGCCAAUAAAGGUGUUUAUUGAAAUACUUCAAUCUUGAGCUUAAUUUGAUGAUA